rnacentral:lncRNA from 1 species
CGGGUUAGAAGUUUAAAAUGGGUUGGAAGGUGGGUCUUCUAAGUUUGAGAUAUUGGAUCCGACCCGACCCAACAACACAAUCCGUGGUGUGGCUGAAAAUAAAGAGGCACUCGCACACGGUCCCCUCCUCUCGCGUGGCUCUUCUUGCUCUCCAUUGCGUUUGCGCAGGUAAUUCCCAAGCUUCAACUCCAAGCCUACAUUUUCUCCCUUCUCAGUUUUUUUUUUCCUAAGUGAAUCAAUACUCUCUUCCAUUUUCAUCAUUUAACAUAAGAAAACAAUCAAAUUUUAACUUCUAAUUUCGUGUUUUAGUGAUUGAGUGGUUGCAAUCUUGUAUUUCAUUGGUAGUAAAAUCCAUAUGAGCCUGCUAACUGUUUGAUGAAAUGCCUCUGGGAGAAUCUCUGUCUUUUCUCUUUUUCUUGUGCCGUCUGUAUUAUAGGAGGUUUUUUUUUUACUACAUUGUUACGACCUCCAUUUGAAGCUCAACUAUAAAGGCCCAACUAGGCAUGUUUGAGCUGCUUCUAUCCACUGCGUUGUAAUUUGUAGCAUAUGGCUAUUGGAAACUUGUUGCAUGAAUUUUGCUACUGUAUGCGUACAUGUGUUGCUUUUUGGAAUAAGUUUCUGAGCGAGCAAGCCUCUCUCAGUUUGUGCCCUUCUCCUUCAGAGGGAGCGUCUUUCACAGCGAGUUCAGAGUUCAAAGCGUGCUCUUUGUAUUUAAUGUUACAGGGGCUCAAUUGUUUGAACAAUUGGGGUCAUCAAUUUUGGGAUCACAAGUGAAAACUUUUUGCAUCUGAUCACGAGUGAACACUACUAGCUGCCUGGUUUCCUCAUCUUUGUGGUUAGCUGGUUGGUAGGCCCCUUUAACCUCUACAUGGGGACAGUGGCUUUUAGUAAUAUUUCCUCACCUUUGAAAAACGCAUAUUGGAUCAUCUUGUUGUGUAUAUUAUAUUUGGCUUUUAUAGCGUACCUUUUAGUCUAUGAUUUGGAAAGUUUUCAAAAGGCAAGUGCUUGGUAUUUAAGUUAUAAUUCUCUAAAAACUACUAAGCUAAAAUAAAACCAAACCAUAUAUGUGAUCCGUUUCAUUUUGUUAAGCAUGAAACUGGAGGUCUUCCUCCUUAUCCCUUGUAUUAGAUUGUUAGACAUGGAUCUGAUAUGGGUAAUAGCCUGACUCCUUCUGUAAAUGUGAAAAAACAAUCUCAGGAGGAGACAGGUUUGCACUCGGUGAAAUCAUCUCAGUGUACAUCUGAUUACUGGCCCAUUGAUGUCUUUGUCAAUCUCUAUUAAGCCUCAUGUAAGUAAAUUUUAAUCCUGUUAAGAGAUUAGAGUAAAAUAUACAAUUCUGCUCAUGUAUCCCCUUCACAUAUACUUUCAUGUGACUGAUCUUGUAUAUGAGACUUGUAUUUCAUUAUUUAGUUGCUUUGGUUUCUCUGUUUUUGGUUAUUAGUGUAAGAUCAGUUAAGUGGUUUCUCUGUUUUUGGUUGUUAGUCUAAUACUUAUUAAUAUUUGUUAGUAGUCAGUCAAGUGGUUAUGAUAAGUACACAUACUAAUAUUGAUGUUCUGUUUUGCAGAUAAAUAAUAGGAUUGUCAGAGAUUUUACUUCUCUCUCGUGGCUCUUUUCUUGCUCCAUUGCGCAGGUAUUUUCCAAGCUUCAACUCCAAGCCUACAUUUUCACCCUUCUCAGUUUCUUUUUUUAAAUUGAUAAUCAAAUUUUUGCUUUUUAUUUCGUGUUUUAGUGAUUGAGUGGUUGUCUUUGAUUGUAUUUCGCGUUUUAAAUUGAUAAUCAAAUUUUUACUUUUAAUUUUUACUUUAGCCUACCAACUGUUUGAUGAAAUGCCUCUGUGAGAACCUCAUUGUCUUUUCUCCUUUUCUUGUGCCUAUUGCUCACUCAAAUGGGUCUGUAUUAUAAAUUAUUUUUUUUUUUCCAUUGUUACGACCUCCAUUUGAAACUCGGAAUUAUAAAGUCUAUCCACUGCAUUGUAAUUUGUAGCAUAUGACUAUGGGGCAACUUGUUGCAUGAAUUUUUUUACUUUCUCAUCAUUGUGUGCAUGUGUGUGUUGUUUUCUGGAAAAAGUUUCUGAACUGUUAUGGUCUUGAUUACAGAGCUGAAAAAGAGUCUUGACAGUAAAGAAAAUGCCACAUAGAACUCGACCUAUGACUGCACUCUUGGUGUUUACUGGGCUGAAUAUUGUACUAGUUUCAACCAUUACCCCAGUCUAUGAUUUUGUCUGCUUCCUUCCAUACUGGGAAAGAAGGGUAUGUUUUCUGUCACUAUUUGUUAAGCAAAUUAUAUUCCAGAGGAAAAAAAAAAAUGGUAUUAAACUUCUUAGAGAACUUUCGUUAGGUUGGCCAUACACUUGCAGGAUGCAUCUUAAAACUAAGCUUGACCAACUCUGUACUUGUAUAACUAUGCUUGCUUCCACAUGAUGUUAUUAUAUUCACUCACUUACCAACUUAAAUCUUGAUCUUCUCGGUUUUGUAUUGGUGAGGUCAAAGUUGUCAAACAUAAACAUCAUUUUUGUUGUGUUGAUUGUAUGUUGGUCUUAUGGAUAAUUUUGUUGUUUAAAACUUUCUGGUAUGAUCACUAAGUUGAAAGCUUGGAAAUGUAAAAUUAGACAUAUUGUUACUGAAUUUGAUUUCUUCUGUUAUUCAGUUUCUAAAAUAAAAAACUGUAAUCCAUCCAAUCCAAUGCGAUCAGUUCUGGAUUGGAUUGGAUUGAGUCAGUUGGUUGGUCUUUUAGAUUCGUUUUGUGCAUCCCCACAUCUGGUAUUUAUGUUUCUUUGCAGAGAGAACGACGUCGUCAGGAACGUGAAGCAAUUUUAUCAAAUGGUCCUGAAUCAAAAUAGAAUAUUAGUGAGGUCAAACCUCUUGAGUUACAGGUUUUAAGCUUUUUCUAAUAUUUAAUGUAGUUCUGCUCUAUGAUUUAUUGUAAGAUUUUAGUAAAUUAAGGAUAAGAAGGUAUACGAAGCUUUUGCAUGCCUGCUUAUGGAUGUUCUCUCCGUAUAUUGUAUAAUCCAUUUAUAAAAUAUGUUUAAAAUAAAACCUUAAAGAUUUAGAGGA